GGGAAUGUGGCUUAGUGGUAGAGUGCUUGCCUUGCAUGCAUGAAGCCCUGUGUUCAAUUCCUCAGUACCA
rnacentral:tRNA from 1 species